GCUGGGCGUAGUGGCGCAUGCCUGUAUUCCCAGCUACUCAGGAGGCUGAGGCAGAGGAAUCACUGGAGCCCAGGAGUUUGAGGUUGCAGUGAGCUAUGAUCACACCACUGCACUCCACCCUGGGCAACAGAGUGAGACCCUGUCUCCA
rnacentral:SRP_RNA from 1 species